UAGGGAAUCUUCGGCAAUGGACGAAAGUCUGACCGAGCAACGCCGCGUGAGUGAAGAAGGUUUUCGGAUCGUAAAACUCUGUUGUUAGAGAAGAACAAGGACGUUAGUAACUGAACGUCCCCUGACGGUAUCUAACCAGAAAGCCACGGCUAACUACGUGCCAGCAGCCGCGGUAAUACGUAGGUGGCUAGCGUUGUCCGGAUUUAUUGGGCGUAAAGCGAGCGCAGGAGGUUUCUUAAGUCUGAUGUGAAAGCCCCCGGCUCAACCGGGGAGGGUCAUUGGAAACUGGGAGACUUGAGUGCAGAAGAGGAGAGUGGAAUUCCAUGUGUAGCGGUGAAAUGCGUAGAUAUAUGGAGGAACACCAGUGGCGAAGGCGGCUCUCUGGUCUAUAACUGACGCUGAGGCUCGAAAGCGUGGGGAGCAAACAGG
rnacentral:rRNA from 1 species